rnacentral:rRNA from 1 species
ACUCAAAGGAAUUGACGGGGGCCCGCACAAGCGGUGGAGCAUGUGGUUUAAUUCGACGCAACGCGAAGAACCUUACCCAGGCUUGACAUGCACUGGACGGGUGUGGAAACACACCUUCCCUUCGGGGCCGGUGCACAGGUGCUGCAUGGCUGUCGUCAGCUCGUGUCGUGAGAUGUUGGGUUAAGUCCCGCAACGAGCGCAACCCUUGCCCUUAGUUGCUAUCAGGUAAUGCUGAGCUCUCUAAGGGGACUGCCGGUGAUAAACCGGAGGAAGGUGGGGAUGAUGUCAAGUCCUCAUGGCCCUUACGCCUGGGGCUACACACGUGCUACAAUGGCCGGUACAAAGGGUUCCGAAGUCGCGAGAUAGAGGCAAUCCCAAAAAACCGGUCUCAGUUCGGAUUGCAGUCUGCAACUCGACUGCAUGAAGUUGGAAUCGCUAGUAAUCGCUGAUCAGCAGGCAGCGGUGAAUACGUUCCCGGGCCUUGUACACACCGCCCGU